AAUGAAAUGCCUGGUAAAAGGAUUACUUUGAUAGAGUAAAUCAUGCAAUUUUAUUGCUUUCAUUA
rnacentral:tRNA from 1 species